AAGCCUGACCUUAAUAUUAAUUUGUCACCAAGACUGACCUGGACAGACAGGACAUGGCUUUUCUUUGUUAUUUACUCACUCGGCGUGUAGUUUUCCUGUACUUAUACACCUCACUGCAGACAUGGUGUUUUCCUUACUGUGCCCCUCCUCCACUCAGAAUAGAAAGCAAUAGUUGUCCUUGUACUAUAUAUCAACAAACAAGUGUUUUCAGAGUUCUCAGACUAUCUGACCUCCAGGAAUUUGGUCAGAGAUCACAGAAACUACAAUAUAAUUAAUUGGCAGUUACUAUUAGUAUUUUGUCCUAUUUUGAUAUAGUUUUACUUAAAUUUUUUUUAAAAAAGUUUGAAGAAAUAUGAGUAACUGUUCAGUUCCUCACAGCUCAGUGCAGGCUUUUGCUUAACUCCUAACAUGCUGCCUUCAGUAAAGGUCCUUCCUUUGCAACCCGCUUGGCUGACCGGAGCAGGUGUGUGUGUGUGUGUGUGUGUGUGUGUGUGUGUGUGUGUGUGUGAGUGUGUGGUGGUGGUGGUAGUGGGGUUCUAUUGUUGGGGGACUCGGGCUUUCCCUGCAUAGCCACACCCCCAACCCUCAGAGCAGGGGUGGAGAGGUGGUUGGGAGGAGUCGGGGAACUUCCUGUGCAAGGACACCUCCAGUCCUCACCUCUGUUUCCUAACUGGACUCUGAACUCCCCUCAGUCUAAGCUCCACCCACAGCUCCACACCUUCCAGUGCCGGAAUGUCCUGGGUAUGUUGGAUGAAUUGUGCUUUUUGGCUCUCUGUCAUUUAGGGCACUUUUGAUCAAAUCAAUCCGCAUUUGACCCUUUGCUGUCUAGUUUCUAGAAUCCCGUUGCUAUGAGCCCCUCCGUAGCUUAUGCUUAAAGUGAUAACGACAAAACAGCCGGGGCUUCUGGAGAAACCCCAAAGUAGCUUCCUUUGUACUCGAGUGAGGUUUCAAGGAAGAGCAGAAGUUACAAGCUUGCCUUCAACCUGCCAUCUAUAGUAGGUUUACCACGUUCUUCAGAUGGCCCAAUGUCUCCUCCGUGUUUACCCUGUGCAGGUUGAGUGUGUGUUGCUGGACUGGAGGUCUUCAGCCACGGUUUGUGGCCUGCACUUGUCUUCUUGCACUCAAGUCCCGAAAGGCCGAGAAAACCAAAGCCAGUAUCACAGGAUUCUGGCAGCACAGAUCAGCCCCACGCUAGGGGAGCUCACGUGUUCUCCUUUCCUUCCUUGUUCCCUUCCCCCAGUCUUGUUUUGAGAUAAGGGUUUAAGUUCCCCAGGCAGUCUUUGAACUUUCAGAGCUCCUGCCUGGGUCUCCCAAGUAGCUAAGACUAAACAUGCUUAAUUUAAUGUAAAGCAGCCCUGAGGUUCCCUAACCUCAACCUGCCUCCCACAGCUUCCCUCAGGCAUCUAGAAGAGGGCCGAGUGAGGCAGAGUUAGGAGGAUCGGCAGAUAGACAGCCAGGGAGGAGACUGGCAUCUGGAAAAUUCUUUCUUUGGUGCCUUAAACAGCAAAAUGUGUGCCUUUUUUAUGUUAGAAGCCACUCCGCCAUAGCCGUGCCUAGGGAUAGUAUUGGAAAUAUUUAACAGCGGGCAUACUGAGGGCAGUCACCAAUUUGGACCAUCCUUAUGAUUUAAUAAUGCUUACUGACUCCCUGGCCACAAGGCUUAGGCUGGGUUCUAGAAUGCUGCAAUUUUCUAUACUUUUCUCUACAUUUAUCACCUUCUCAUUUCCAGAAAGACGCUCUGGGAAAACGGGUUAGGUCUACUCUUCUCCAUGGUAUCUUCAUAAAACGUGUGCAGUCACACCAAGUUUCCUUGCACCUAUGGCGAACAUCACGUGCAGUCCUUACCUCUGGGGAGAAGUCUGACAGCAGGGGAAUGACAUAUUGUGCCAGGGAUGUGCUUUAAAUGAUGGAAUGCAUGCUGUAGAGCUGAGUUUGGUCCCUCGAACCUCAUACGCCCACGAAUGAGGGGGGUGGGGCUUGUUGGCGUAGGGGUGGGGCAUGUUGGAGUGGGGGUAAGGCCAGGUAGGACAUUCUUAUCAGGCUUGUGCAGAGGAUGUGUCUGCCCAGCUUCUCUUUUGCACUGUGCUUUUUGUUUCUCCACAUCUUAUUGAAAUGUAACAUUUAGAAAAACAUCAUUUCCCCCAAAUGGUUUAUCAGAUGAUUUUUUUUUCCCUCUUCCUCUUCUGUUCCGUCGAGCCUGAGUCGCACAGGCUGCCCAGGCUGCCCUGGCUGCCCUGGGCUUCUGUGCUUAAGAGAUGUUUUAGAUUUGCCCUCCCCUGCUCCCAAGUAGCUCCCAAGCGUUAGCACACUGCACCUGGCUUCCUUUUGUCCUCUCCAUCAAAGUGAUCACACAAUGCGGCAUUCACUGUUUCUCAUGCUGGACCAUGCAGUGUACAUUUUUAUUUUGUUUUUCUUUUGUUUGUUUGAGACAUGGUCUCUCUGCAUAGCCUUGGCUGUCCUGGAACUCACUUAUGUAGACCAGGAUGGCUUCAAGAACUCACAGAGAACUGCCUGUCCAAGUCUCCCAAGAGCUGGGAUUAAAGGUAUAUGCUACC
rnacentral:lncRNA from 1 species